rnacentral:rRNA from 1 species
AUUGAACGCUGGCGGCAUGCCUUACACAUGCAAGUCGGACGGCAGCACGGGGGCGACCCUGGUGGCGAGUGGCGAACGGGUGAGUAAAGCAUCGGAACGUACCUGGGAGUGGGGGAUAACGUAGCGAAAGUUACGCUAAUACCGCAUAUUCUGUGAGCAGGAAAGCGGGGGAUCGCAAGACCUCGCGCUUCUGGAGCGGCCGAUGUCAGAUUAGGUAGUUGGUGGGGUAAAGGCCCACCAAGCCAACGAUCUGUAGCUGGUCUGAGAGGACGACCAGCAACACGGGGACUGAGACACGGCCCAGACUCCUACGGGAGGCAGCAGUGGGGAAUUUUGGACAAUGGGCGAAAGCCUGAUCCAGCCAUUCCGCGUGCAGGAUGAAGGCCUUCGGGUUGUAAACUGCUUUUGUACGGAACGAAACGGCUCUCUCUAAUACAGGGGGCUAAUGACGGUACCGUAAGAAUAAGCACCGGCUAACUACGUGCCAGCAGCCGCCGUAACAC